rnacentral:rRNA from 1 species
GUGGGGAAUCUUGCGCAAUGGGCGAAAGCCUGACGCAGCCAUGCCGCGUGAAUGAUGAAGGUCUUAGGAUUGUAAAAUUCUUUCACCGGGGACGAUAAUGACGGUACCCGGAGAAGAAGCUCCGGCUAACUUCGUGCCAGCAGCCGCGGUAAUACGAAGGGGGCUAGCGUUGCUCGGAAUUACUGGGCGUAAAGGGCGCGUAGGCGGACAGCUUAGUCAGAGGUGAAAGCCCAGGGCUCAACCUUGGAAUUGCCUUUGAUACUGGCUAUCUUGAGUAUGGAAGAGGUAUGUGGAACUCCGAGUGUAGAGGUGAAAUUCGUAGAUAUUCGGAAGAACACCAGUGGCGAAGGCGACAUACUGGUCCAUUACUGACGCUGAGGCUCGAAAGCGUGGGGAGCAAACAGGAUUAGAUACCCCGGUAGUCC